rnacentral:lncRNA from 1 species
GGGGGCUUCAGCCUCAGGAACCUGGAGCUGCUCCGCGCAACCCUGGUAGGCAGCUAGGAGCUACAGAGAGUCCAAGCUGCUUGAGCCUGCCACCUCAGCCUCAGCUGGCAAUACAGAUUGCGUCGUCCCCCCCACCCCCCAGUGGAUACAAUGCCCGCCUCCCAUGGCUUGUUACCUCCCCAGCCCCCACCCCACCCUAGGGAUGCAAACGAGCAAAGAUGCUUCUGUCGCUUUUCCUGAAAGCAUGGAGAGAUCGAGAAGGAGGAGAGGGAUAUGGAUGCUGAGUUUUGAUUUAUUUUCACUGUGUGUUGGUUUUUAUUGCCUAGAACAAAAGGGCUCCCAAGGGCGGGCUGCAUCCCGACAGGUCCGUCUGCGCUCUUGUUAUUUUACUCCGCUAGAGGAAGCGCCCAGCGCAGGACCACAGAGAUGUGAAUGAACCUAUGCAGGCGAAUGUAGAAUGCUUUCCAGGCCUUCGCUGAUGCCUAGGACACCGUGCCAGGCGGGGAGAUGGACUCCUACCCCCACAGCAGCCCCGCACCUUCACAAAGGAUGGAAUGACAACUCACAAACGUUGUUCCCUUUGAUGGAGUCUACUUUGUUGGGGGAAGGGAGGGCCGGUCAGCCCCACCCCCACCCCGCUUUAUUCUUGCUUGGAGAUGUUUACCCUGCCCCGUUCCCAUUGUCCAUGUUUCCUGACAUGUUGACCUUGACUUGGAAAGACCUGCCUCUGAAUUUUGAAAUACGAUCACAGACUUACGUGUUGAACUAUACUAUGCAUGUGUUCUUAAUCCUACUGUCCCAUGGAACUAGGUUCUAGAUGGCAACGUGAAGUCUAAUCACAGGAUAUCUUCCUGUCCUCAGAUCCAAAGACUGUCACUUUCCCAAACGCCCCUGCGCUCGAGGGCUGUGGUGCCCAUUCUGGGUAGUUCAGUGUGAAGAAAGACCAGCCUUUUGAUUGCGUAAACAUCUCCAGUGAUUCAUCUAGAACAGAAGGAACAAUGCUUUCACCUGAAAAACAGCAGUUGAUAUGAAUAUGCUGUGGACCAGUUGAAAAUAUAAUGAACCCUCUGAGAGGCCCAACAAGCAGCUGAAAGAGUCAGAUGCAGAUACUAGCACCCAACCAAUGGACAGAAGCGGGGGACCCCUGUGGAUGAAUUGGGGAAAAGCUGGAAGAAGCUGAGGAGGAGGGCAGCCCCAUGGGAAGACCAGCAGUCUCAACUGACCUGGAACCCGGAGAUCUCUCAGAAACUGAGCCACCAGCCAGGCGUCAUACACCAGCUGAUAUGAGGCGGCCAACACAUAUACAGCAGAGGACUGCUGGGUCUGGCCUCAGAGAAGAUGCACCUAACCCUUGAGAGACUUGAGGCCCUGGGGAGUGGGGAGGUCUGGUAAAGUGAGGGGAGGGGGUGGCGACAUCCUCUUGGGGGCGGGGAUGGAAUGGUGAGCGGGGGCGGGGUGAAUGGCAGACCAGAAUAAAAAUAAAUAAAUAAAUAAAUUUUUAAAAAAUAAAAAUAAAAUAAAAUGAAAUAAUAAACGUGCUCCACAAAUCCAG